UACGUAGGGCGCGAGCGUUGUCCGGAAUUAUUGGGCGUAAAGGGUGCGUAGGCGGCGAGGUAAGUCUGAUGUGAAAUCCCGGGGCUCAACCCCGGAACUGCAUUGGAUACUGCUUUGCUAGAGUACUGGAGAGGGAACUGGAAUUUACGGUGUAGCAGCGAAAUGCGUAGAGAUCGUAAGGAAGGCCAGUGGCGAAGGCGGGUCUCUGGGCCGAUACUGACGCUGAGGAGCGAAAGCGUGGGGAGCGAACAGG
rnacentral:rRNA from 1 species